GACUAAAAGUGAAGGAGAAACCAGACUGUCUGUUCUCUCGAGCAUUUGUAGACAGACAACUUUUAAAUAGAAGCACCCACAUGGGAUUCUGAAAGCUGCGCUGGCAUGCUUCCUGCAGCUGCCCCAAGGGGGACCGCUCCUGGCUGGACAGAUGCAGCAAAAGACAUCAAGACACCGUGCUGAGAGCCUAGUGAGCUCCCACCAGUUUAAUUCUUAGUCCCGUUGGAAGACCUUGAAGAGUAGAGAAGAAUGCUUCCUUCCCUUCAGGUGGAAAGGAGAAACAGAAGUUAAAGAUGCCUGAGAU